UACGGAGGGUGCAAGCGUUGUUCGGAAUCAUUGGGCGUAAAGCGGGUGUAGGCGGCGAGGCAAGUCGGGUGUGAAAUCCCAGGGCCCAACCCUGGAACUGCACUCGAAACUGCCUAGCUAGAGUCCCGGAGAGGAUGGCAGAAUUCCCGGUGUAGAGGUGAAAUUCGUAGAUAUCGGGAGGAAUACCAGUGGCGAAGGCGGCCAUCUGGACGGUGACUGACGCUCAGAUCCGAAAGCGUGGGGAGCAAACAGGAUUAGAUACCCUCGUA
rnacentral:rRNA from 1 species